UACAACACGUCUUCCCUCAAUGCGAAUUGGCUGUAAUGCAGUUGACAAAUAGGAGAAUGAUAUUUCUGAAACACAAAUUUGCGUUGACCAUAACUCAAAAUUGUAUCGGUGCACAGAGGGGUAUGCUUCGACAUCACAUGGUCAUUUCACAGGCUUUGUUGUGAACACGUACAAUGUUAGCACUGAAAGAGUCUCCACGCUGCCAUCGUGUGAUCACUUCACGGGUUUUGUCAUGAAGUGCUUUCUGUGGGAGGUAUAGUACAGUCUCCAGGUCCAUCAAGUCAUCUUGACAUUUUUUAAAGUGAUUGGCAAUGCAGAUGGAUGCCAGAAGAACCAGCAGCGUGCUGGAGUCAGCAGGCCUCAGGGGAUGGCUGAUAUUGGAUAUUUCAUUCAGAAUAAAUAACAAAAACAUACUCCGUGAUUUUCCUAUAUUCUUGGGCUCAGCUAAAAAUGAACAGGACUGUGCUGUUACAUGUGGAGAUGCAGACCACAGCUUUUCUGCGAAUGCAAUAGUUAAUAAUCAUGUGCAGGUGAGUGUUGCAUUGUCCACAUACUCCACUGCUCCCCAGGCCGGAUCACUACGCACGACUGGUUUAGAAACAGGAACUGCAAAAUAAAAGGAUGUUCCACAGUCAAAAUGUCACUGCUGAUAACCUGAACAAAGCUCAAGAUAACUGCAAACUUUGCGUAUUAUUCUAUUUUUUAGCCUCAGAGCAAAUUAUGAAGUAGAUUUUGCAAUUUCUUCCUCCCAGUGCAGCACUCUCCCUGACUGGAAAACAGUUGAGUGUGGCUCUCUCCAGGUUUAUAUGACUUGUGCUUUAGUAAAACGAAUCACAAAAAUAAAAAUCUGAACAUAACUGCAUGUUAAUUCAAUCAGGUGUUACAUAUAAACUACCUUCAGUGACAAUAAUUGACAUCUUCAUUUACAUUAUAUUUUAAACAAUUCUUGAGCAGACAAAUCAAAGAUUUGCUCCAGAUGAACAAGGACCAUUGUUGCAGGUGUGUAAGCACUGUGUGCUUGUUUUUGUUAUUGUGUCCUCAUUUUGAAAUGGAGGUUGAGAAAAGGAAGAACUACAGAGGUAAAGCAUUUCUGCCAUUUGACAUAUGACCCAGCAAUUUUGACAGAAUCAGGAAGUCCACAAAGCAAUAGAAAAUUCAGUUCCUUAAAAUGUUACCAAAUAUUUAUGUUAGAGCCCAUUAUGAACCAACAACAUUGUUUGACAAAACCAGAAAGUGGAGCAAAAUCUCACAAUAUCUAAUGAAACUUAUAGUACGGUUACUUUACUUUCUAUUGAUGGCUUUUGAUAAUUAGUCCAUUCAGAUUGUUACAAUUUCCAAACCUGUUGCAGAGCUGGAAUCUGCCUCAAUCUUUUGAAAUGCUUAAACAACAAUGGCUUAAUGGUGUUUUUGUGUCACCAGUAGAAAUGGCAGCUCAGUGGUUAUGCCAAAUGGAUGAGUAAGCCAGGUGUAAGGGUUUAAACUCUAGUGACAUGAGUUUCUAAAUUCCUUAAUGCAUCUGGGAAACUUAACUAGAAAUAAUUAAAGGAAUCUCAAAGGGAAAACUCAACAAUGAUGACAAUGAAACUAGUAUUGUCCAAAUAAAAACAGAGUCUCGUUUGCUCAUGCUCUUCAGGGAACAAAAUUAGCCAUCUCUACCCCUACCUGCCUAUAGUGGCUUUAGACUAACUACAUCAACCAAUACGGUUAACUCUAACUGCUACUUUAUGAUCCAGGCUGUUCCCGGCCCUCCUAUUCUGUGAGUUGCAGUUUUGUUAACCAGUCUUUGAUGUGGUACAUUGUCAAAGUUUUUCUAAAAUCCGUACAGACAAUAUCUAUUGCAUUCCCUUCAUAAACCUCCCUGUUAAUUCAUCAAAGAGAAAAUUCAAGUAAUUGAGCCAAACAUAAUGUGUCUCUCAUAAAUCCCAU